rnacentral:lncRNA from 1 species
ACUUGUGUAGGAAUCCUAAGGACACUUUCGUGUCCUUUUGGCACUUCAGUAACAAGUUGACACCCAUAGAUUGGGUUGCUACUUCACUUGAAGAGACCUUUGAUAAAUUCUGUAGGGGAGCGAGUUUGUAUGGGCCAUUUUGGGACCAUGUUUUGGGUUAUUGGAAGGAGAGCCUGGAAAGGCCUCAUAGGGUAUUUUUCAUGAAGUACGAGGAAAUGAAAAACGAGCCCAGGAUUCAAUUGAGGAGACUGUCUGAAUUCUUGGGGUGUCCAUUUUCCCUUGAAGAAGAGAAUAGCGGUGUCUUGGAUGAAAUCUUGGAUCUGUGUAGUUUUGAAAACCUGAGCAAUUUAGAAGUGAACAAGAUCGGAAGGCUGCAUUCCGGACAUGAGCAUCAGGCCUUUUUUCGACGAGGCGAAGUUGGCGAUUCCAUGAAUUAUCUCACGGCUGAGAUGGUGGAAAAAAUUGACAUGAUCACUGAGCAGAAGUUGCAUUGUCAUGGUUUAAAGUUCUAGUUCGUUCUGAAGGCCGCACCAUCUUCCUUUACUGUUUAUCAGCAUGCAUCUUUUGUUGUUAAGCCGAGGUCAACAUCUAGGCCAUUUAUCAUAUGUUGCACUAUUACUGUCUAUCAAAACUGUCAGCAAUAAUGGCAUGGGCAUUGUACGCUGCAGUACCGAUGAGGGAAGCGUGAGCACCGAGCAGAACAUGUCUUUAUCAAGGUAGCUUACACGUGAUAUUCUGGGGUGUUAAUAAUAUAUUUGAUUUGUUGAUUGCUACGUCACCAAACUUAUUAAUGUAUCCCUAGCGAGUAUCCUGUCAUUGCUCCAUGCUUUGUAUUCUUGCGUGUUUAUAAUUGUUUUUAUGAACCCAGAUUGUGUUGGUUACUAUAAUUUCUUGGUGUAAAGGAUGGACGAUCCUUUAAAUGACUACAAGGGGGUAUUUUAGAAUCCUAAUGCAUUUUCAUAAAAGUUUUAGAAAAGAAACGCAUGUCAUAAAAAUUUUAGAAAAAUAUCAUAAUUUAAACCGAGCCAGUAUUAAAAUUAUUAUCUGAACACGACCGCUGUCGGAAAUAACAGUUAUUAUAAAAAUAAUAUCUCUCUCAAUUUAAUUAAUAUGUAUAAAAAAUCAAUCCAAAAUUUUUUAAAAAUUCAUUGGAUAAAGUGUGUUCCCAAUAAUCUUUUUUUUUCUAUUUGACCUUGAAUCUUAUUUUUUGAGCAGUGGCGUCUUUAUAAAUUAUUUGAUUGAUUUUUAUUUAGGUUAAUUAAUUUGCGUGAUAAAUAUAUUCUUAAACAUUCACUAAACAACUGUCAUUUCAAAUAAUAUUUAUGCAGAAAAAUAUAUUUUGAAAAAUGAUUGUUAUUUCCAAUAAUAUCCAUGUACAAGAAUAAUAUUCUAAAACAUGAGCAGUGUUAAUUUAAACUAUAUUACUUUUCAAAUAUUUUUUAAUAUGUAUUAUUUUCCGGGAAUUUUAGCAAACUAUUCUGUUUUUAAAAUAAAAAAUCCACUAUCAGGUGUCCUGGUAUGUGCGUGUAUGUUUAUAUAUAGUCACUCAUUUCGUAGUGGAAAAUGAAUAAUUACAAUCCUAAGUCAAGGUUUUUGAUUAAUAUAUGAUGGGCAACACUGAUGAUUAGGUAUGUAAUUACUCGUCGGCAACAUAAAUUGAAAUAUUUGGUGAUCACUCGUGAACUUGAAAUGUUCAAUCUCUUAGUGAAUUGAUUAUUAAUACGUCAAUGAUUAGGAACUCCAUUCCGAAAUAAUAAUAAUAAUAAUAAUAAUAAUAAUAAAGGAAAGGAAAGUUUACCCGUGAUUUUGUCGAUUUGUGCUCUAUUACUAUUAUUAUUAUUUUAUAAAAUAAUAAUAAUAAUAAUAAAGAAGGAAAGAUAAGUCUACUUUUUAGGUGAUUUUGUCAAUUUAUGCUUUAUCAUUAUUAUUAUUAUUAAGUAUGAAGUGUAAAGCCGGAAGUUGAUACUACACCAUUUAAUGGACAACAAUAGUAAUUUAUAGUAUGUUUUUUUUUUAAUUAUUUUGACUAUUCUUUUCUGUUUUUUAUUUUUAUUUUUUUUAACUUAGUCUUUCAAUUUUAUAUUGAAUUUAAAUUUAAUAAUUUAUUUUUUAUAUGGUUAUUACAGUAUAAGAAAAUAUUUUAAUAUCGGGUUGAUAUUAAAAAAUAUCUUAAUAAUGCAAUAUGAUCUAUUGUUUUAAAAACAAAUAGUUAAAUAAAAAAUUAUUUAAAAAACACUUGUUUAUUAAGCUUGGUAGAGUUAAUUAUCCAGUUUGCGUGUUUGAUAAGAUAAUUUUGGUUGCCUCGUUUCGCAGGUCUAACGAGAUAAUUUUUUUAAAUAAAAUUUAAUUAUGUGAUCAUUUAUUGUUUUAUUAUAUAGUUAAAAAAGUAAUUUAAAAAAACAUAUUAUUAAAUUUUAGAAAGUCCAGUUUGUGGGUUUGAAGAGUUUAAUUUUUUUAAUUUUUUAAUUUUACAUAAUUGAAAAUUAAAUUUUAUAAUUUAUUUUAUUUUCUAUAAAAUUAUUAUAAUCUUUUUUGAAAAAAAGUUUCAGUUGUAGUCUAUUUUGUUUCUUUCUUCAAGGCUAUUCUAUCUAGCUUCGUCUGCUCGCUUGGCACCCUUGUUGGUUGAUGCUCUUUAGUUUCACGGGCUACGGCUCCGUCAAAGUAAGUAGCUACGAAAGGGAACUGUAGGAGGGCCCAUUUAUCAAAUAAUUUAUAGAUCCAGCUGUCAAAGCCCACAACGCACAUCUUCCACUUUACAACUGAAAAAUGCUGCUUUGGGCUUUCUGGAGCGAGUGAAUUUGGACGAUCAGUUUCAAUUCCUAGAGCCCAAUCAACGAUGCACCCUUCCUGUGGCAAAGUUUGGUUUACAAGGUUUAGUAAAGGAGUAAUGAUUAUGAUUUAAAAUAUUUUUAAUUUAUAGAUAUAUUAAAAAAUAUUAGUUUUAUUUUUUAAAAAUUAUUUUUAAUAUUAAUACAUCAGAAUCAUUUCAAAACAAAUAAAACAAAAUUUUAAACAAAAAUAUUUUUUAAAAUUUUUAAAAAACACAUUUCAAUUAUGUUCUCAAACAUUGUUGUAGAUAUAUAGGAUAAAUGAAAUAUAAUAAUAAAGAUGAGAUAAUUAGCGUGUUUGGAAUUACAGUAUAAAUUAUUUUUUAAAAUAUUUUUUUAAAAAUAUAUUAAAAUAAUAUUUUUUAUUUUUAAUAUUAAUACUUUAAAACAAUCCCACACAACAAUAAUAAAAAAAAAAUCUCAAAAACACGGUCUACUGCACAAACAAACAGUAACAGAACAUAAUGUAGACAUGUAGUUAUGUUUGGUUUGGAAUUCAGGAUGUGAAUUUUUAAUUGGUUAGUUGAAAGAGUUUUAAUUACCUUCCAGACUAAUUAACAUAUAUUUAAUGUUUUCCUUCCAUAAAUAAUCUGCAGAUUAAUAUUAUCUUGAAUAUUCUGUUUCUUAAUAUCAUAUACCUAUGAUAGAGCAGAUGAAGGAUGCAGCUCAACGUGUAAAUCAUGGUCCCUUCUGCGCUAGGCAGUCCACAUCAACCCGUUAUUCUACGCUUAAAUGCUAAUGUACUGAAAGCCAGGGCCGUAUCCCGUGUGAUCAUAUCAAUUUUUCAUUAAUUCAAUACAAGGCGAUCACGUACAUGGUGAAAUUCAUUAAUUCACGCAGCAAACUAUACAUUAAAUGACCAUAACCACACAUGUCGUGACAGUGGUGCACUUGAGACCGUUUGGUUGUGCGUUCAACCUUUUUACUGUGCCCAAUUUGAUUAAUAAAAAAUUAAAAAAAAUUGAUGGCAGGUCCCUGAAUACCCACCUCUCAACUAACAAAUCUAACAUGAUUUUAGAAGGAUCUUAAAAGGACCUAGCACAUUUAAUUUCAGUAAUUUAUCAUGACUCAAGUGGCUUUUGUGCCGGGCAAAGCAAUAUUCAAGGGGGGAAAUUGAAAGUUAGUUUGAGCAUCGUUUUAGACGCUGCUAGUCAGUUUAGUUUUUCUUUAAUAUAAAUUAAGAUGGGAAAAGGAAAGCUAUCCAAACGUCAAGGGUUGUGGGCACAAAUUCACCCUCUCCCUUGCCUUCUUCUGUACUUCUGUAUAUAUUAUUUUAUUAUUUAUUUAUUUAUUUAUCAUCAUAUCAUUGAAAGUGUGAGAUGCGUUUUUACAAGUCUAUAUAUUGGUAACGGGAAUGAUCUAAGGAUCAGCUUAAAUGUAUUUCCACCCUAAAAAUCUCAAAGCAAUUCUUCUAGAGCUACAAUGUCAAGUCCCGAGCAAUCUCUUUCUCUUCCCGUAUACAUGCAAGAAAAUGAAACCUCCCAAGAAUUCAAAGACUUGAUAGCCUCCAUGCCCACUGAGAAAGGCUGGAUGGCAAAACAUCUCCAUCGAUACCAAGGUUUUUGGCACUCAACUAGGCAACUUCAAGGGGUCCUAGCUUGCCAAAAACACUUUCAAGCACAAGAUGGCGAUAUCUUUCUUGUCACCACUCCUAAAUCAGGCUCUACUUGGUUAAAGGCGGUGAUGUUUUCCUUGGUGAAUCGGGUAUCCUUUCCUGACACUAAACAACACCCUUUGCUCACUAACAACCCUCAUGCUCUUGUGCCUUUCUUGGAGAUGGAAUACAUUGGCAAAGAGAAUCUUGACUUCACCAACUUCACUUUUCCCAGGCUGUUUUCAACUCAUCUCCCACUCUUGUCACUUCCCAGAUCUGUGGAGGACUCUGAUUGCAAGCUUGUUUACUUGUGCAGGAAUCCUAAGGACACUUUCGUGUCCUUUUGGCACUUCACUAACAAGUUGAGACCCAUAGAUUGGAGUGCUACUUCACUUGAAGAGACCUUUGAUAAAUUCUGUAGGGGAGUGAGUUUGUACGGGCCAUUUUGGGACCAUGUUUUGGGUUAUUGGAAGGAGAGCCUGGAAAGGCCUCAGAGGGUAUUUUUCAUGAAGUACGAG